UGUAUAUAAGUCAGCUGCUAAUGAUUCUUUCUAUACCUAGGUCUCUGCUUUUAUCUCUCAUAAUUAACUUUUCAGUAUUGAUACACAGAAGAAAAAUAAGGUGAAAUGAUAAGCAUAUAGUCACAUAAGUAAAUUUCUAAUUUUGUUCCUUUUAUUUUUAGGUGACACAUAAUAAUAGUACAUAUUUAUGGGAUACAGUGAUAUGUUGAUAGAUGCAUACAGGAUAUAAUGAUGAAAUCAGGGGGCCAUAAAGAAAAUUGAUGAGGACAACUGGCCUCCCAGUAUGUGGAUUCAGUUUCCAUAUGUCAAUUUACCAACUCCCACUGGUAGUCUGAAGAGAUAUGGCUACUGGAGAACAGAAAAUCACCAGUAUUAAUAAAAGCAAUUUUAAGUGUUUACCUUUUAGUAUUUGAAUAGCUUUGUUAAAGAGACGUACUCAAGAAUACUAUGAAGAGACUCUUAUUGUACUCCUUACCUGGAGAUAAUUGUGAUGCCAGAAAUUCAAAUUUAUAUUCAACAAUAUGGUUUUUCAACCAUCAAUAUUAUAAACAUCUAGGCAGUGUCUAUUGUUUGCGCAUUUGCCAUCCUCUAAAAUGAGAUUAUUCUAAGCAUAAAUUAUACUUCAUCAUUCAAGAUUAUAAACAUUUAUAAUAAUCAUAAUAUUCACAGACAUUUCCCUGCUCUCAAAUCACUAGAGCUAAUAGGCAAAGUAGAUACAGCUACAAACAGUGGGAGAAAAUAUUUCUGGCUGACCUACAAAUAGCUGUGCAAUAAUGUAGAGAGGAAAAUAUAGUCUCACUUACAGUGUCUGAAAUUGAGUUUCCCUCUUUAAAGGACAAAGUAAUUUUCAAAAAUAUUUGAGUAUUAUUCUGUGUAAAAAAUCUCUGUUUUAACUGGCUUAUUGAAUUGUAUUUCUUUAUUGUGUUUGUAUUCACUUUUCCAUUUGUGGGUGGAAUUUAUUAUAAUUACCAGUUUUAUACUGAAUGAAACAAAAAUCUCAUAGAUUUAAUAAAACUUUAAAUUCCUUGUCAUUAAUAAUAAAAUGUAUAUGCUUUCUCUAAUAAGUCCAUACUUUAUUGUUUAAAACCUGUUUUUCCUCUUUCUCAAGCACAUGGAUUGUUAAUUUAAAUUCUGAAAUAAAGCCAAUUAAUCCAUAAACAUGGACUGUGGAUAAUGUCGAUAUUACAUGUAAAUUUCUCAGUGUGUGUUUCGUGGACCCAAUAGCAUCAGCAUUAGCUGGGGACUUACGAGGUGGCCUGUGCCUGUAGUCCCAGCUACUCAGGAGGCUGAGGCAGGAGAAUCGCU
rnacentral:lncRNA from 1 species